ensembl:lncRNA
CGGGAAAUGAUGUUGUUGCAGCAACACAAGGACAGAAAUAAGUACAAAUAAAUCAUUAGAGGUCUUUAAAACUAAAAUAUACGUAAAAAUAGAAACUAUAAAAGAGCAAUUAAAGCUCUGUAUCUCUUUGUAUUCGCUACAUCGUGUUCACUUUGAUCCGAUAAAUCUGUUUUUCAUUUACAGGUGUGCGAGAAUCAGCGUAAUGACCUGCAGCUUCUGCAGUUGAACCUGGAAAGUACCCGCGAAACUCUGCGGGAGAAGAACAGUCAGGGAUUACCUGGCAGGUGAAUAGUGUUUUAAAAAAUAAAUAUAGAACACGCCUGAUGUAGUUAUUUUCAUUUCAUAUUUUGUGGCGGUAGAGAAGCUACUGAGUUUGAGUUGUUGAGCAGUGUGGGCACGGUGAAAGAAAAGAGCAGCCAGGAUAACAAUUUGUACGUGAAGAAAUUGAACAGAAGAGGCAGGAGUCCGCUCUAAGACACUAGAGGUGCAUCUCGCGAAAGAAAGAGGUAGUGAUGACAUUGAUCAGACUCAUUUCUAGCUGUAUUUUAGUAGAGAGGAGCAGUAUUGAUCUAAAUCUUGUAAGAUCUCCAAGAACUGGAGUUGAAUGAUUUGUUUGUCUCAGUCAGGAGGAGUUAAGAUGCGUCUGUCUGGACAGCUGGUCACCUCCGUCACCCAGAGUGAAGAACUCCAGACGUUUACAUGACGCUGCCGCUCCACCUGCAGCCAAUCAGCAAGUCACGGUCAACGGUGACCCGGGAGACUUCUCAGCGCUCUCGAUUGAUGGUGAUGAUCCUCUGUCCAGCUGUUCUCUGCAGCAGCUGUUAAAUGAGUCCAGGCAGGUCAUCAGUUCAGAGCACUGCAGCUCGAGGCUCCACUGCUCCAUACACAGUAACAGUGUCCCUGCUAUGAGCUGUGGGACCACUGAUCCCCUUUACUCUCAUAAGGCAUCCCACCUCCACACAACUACCCCAACAUACAAGGUAGAGGAGUUUCAUGAUGCUGGGCCUCUCAACCUCUUCUCUCACCAGUUGUAUUCAUGGGGUGUGGCAUCAAGGGUGUAAUGUUCAGUUGAACUGCUCCCACUUUUAGUUUGGGUGUGUUAAGACAUAACAGCUUUAUUAUUUUUUCUCCAACAGGCCAGUGAAACUCCACCCAAAGCCUGCCCUCGACACCAGCCAGCCAUGUGGUCGGCUUGACUUGGCUUGUAUUUACCAAAGCUUUCAAAAUCAGUGUUACUACAGAAAAUGCAAAUAUUAUAAGUUAACUCUAAAGUGUUAAAUAUCUGUAUGCAAAUAGUUAAAGGUUGAACGGUCUCUCAGGGAAAUUAUGAAGUGAUAAAAAUACAUUUAAUGUCCUGAAUUUGUAGCUUUUUAUACCCUUAAUCUUGUUUUUAAAUAGGUUGCAGUGUUUAAUUCAUACAUGUGUAUUUUUUUUAAAGCCCUGUUUCAGAUUUUUAAAGGCUGUAUUGUGUGGAGAGAUGUGAAACCAGUCCUACAGGGCUGUUGAGUCCUGGUGUGUCCUUGUAUUGUCUUUCCAGUUUCACUGCCUACACGUUUGCCGGUGACUCAAGAGGAAAUGUCGAUAGCUGUUAAUAUCUUUUACAAUCUAUAACGUUGGUUAUUAAUUUUGAUUAAAAUAUAUAUAUUUAUAUGUAAACUACGUGUCAGUGGUGUUUAUAUGGCCUGUGAAUAAACUAGCAAGUAUUUAUGAAUGCGCGUUUCUACGCAUUUGGAGAGCUUUUACGCACAAGAGGAACUUUGUUGAAUUGUAGGUCCGCUUUGUUUUAGGAAGACUGCGAGGUUUUAAUUUGAAGAAGCG